GGCUCGUAGCUCAGGGGUAGAGUGCUGCCUUCGCAAGGCAGAAGCCGCGGGUUCGAAUCCCGCCGAGUCCAUCAG
rnacentral:tRNA from 1 species